rnacentral:rRNA from 1 species
AUUGAACGCUGGCGGCAGGCUUAACACAUGCAAGUCGAACGGUAGCAGGUAAGUACUUGUACUUAUGCUGACGAGUGGCGGACGGGUGAGUAAUGCUUGGGGAUCUGGCUUAUGGAGGGGGAUAACGACGGGAAACUGUCGCUAAUACCGCGUAGAAUCGAGAGAUGAAAGUGUGGGACCUUCGGGCCACAUGCCAUAGGAUGAACCCAAGUGGGAUUAGGUAGUUGGUGGGGUAAUGGCCUACCAAGCCGACGAUCUCUAGCUGGUCUGAGAGGAUGACCAGCCACACCGGGACUGAGACACGGCCCGGACUCCUACGGGAGGCAGCAGUGGGGAAUAUUGCGCAAUGGGGGCAACCCUGACGUAGCCAUGCCGCGUGAAUGAAGAAGGCCUUCGGGUUGUAAAGUUCUUUCGGUGACGAGGAAGGUUGUUGUGUGAAUAGCACAACAAAUUGACGUUAAUCACAGAAGAAGCACCGGCUAA